AGUUUGAUCCUGGCUCAGAACGAACGCUGGCGGCAGGCCUAACACAUGCAAGUCGAGCGCACCUUCGGGUGAGCGGCGGACGGGUGAGUAACGCGUGGGAAUAUGCCCUUUGGUACGGAAUAGUCCUGGGAAACUGGGGGUAAUACCGUAUGCGCCCUUCGGGGGAAAGAUUUAUCGCCAAAGGAUUAGCCCGCGUUGGAUUAGGUAGUUGGUGGGGUAAUGGCCUACCAAGCCGACGAUCCAUAGCUGGUUUGAGAGGAUGAUCAGCCACACUGGGACUGAGACACGGCCCAGACUCCUACGGKAGGCAGCAGUGGGGAAUCUUAGACAAUGGGGGCAACCCUGAUCUAGCCAUGCCGCGUGAGUGAUGAAGGCCCUAGGGUUGUAAAGCUCUUUCAGCUGGGAAGAUAAUGACGGUACCAGCAGAAGAAGCCCCGGCUAACUCCGUGCCAGCAGCCGCGGUAAUACGGAGGGGGCUAGCGUUGUUCGGAAUUACUGGGCGUAAAGCGCACGUAGGCGGACCGGAAAGUUGGGGGUGAAAUCCCGGGGCUCAACCCCGGAACUGCCUUCAAAACUAUCGGUCUGGAGUUCGAGAGAGGUGAGUGGAAUUCCGAKUGYA
rnacentral:rRNA from 1 species